rnacentral:lncRNA from 1 species
AUGGUUAUUACCCCGUUUUAUUUCAGGUAUAAAAGAUUCUUCUUGUCAGUGUUCCAAAUGUACUUGGGUGUCGGUAAAGAAAAAGAAGACCUUCAGAUUCAGUUGGUGGCUCAUCCUCGCUACAGAAACUUCCUUAACACACCACAGGGACAUGUUAGAAGCAAAGGGCUUCUGUCAUCAUUGGGACGGGCAGAAACGCAAGGGGACCUUCACUCAGAUGCAGGAGGGAAAGGAGGGAAGCAAGUUCUCCCAGGCAAAGUCAACGGAAUUGGAUCCUUUCCCCCAACCUGCUUGUUAUAUUCAAAUACUUCACCCUCUUCUUUUUAUAAAAAAUCAGUUCUACCUUCUCGAAGCAAACCAUCAACAUCAAAAACAUGGUUUGCAUGUCAUUUUAAAUGAAAAAGAAAGGAAAUAAACAGAUUCAAAUGUCAGCUCAGGGACUCUCGACCUUAUGAAUGUCCCACUUAAAACAUAGCCCUUUGACUCUUAGGCCGAGACCAGACAGUUUUACCUUCCAGGUGUAUGUUUCCAGAGUCAUCUGUGAAUAGGGGGGAACCUUUGGAAACUGAUGUCCAGGUUCAACUAUAUCAUCAAAUUCUGGAGAAGAUUGCUAACGUAUGAUCAGAAAGGAAGAAGACGGUUUGUGUAGACAAUGUGGCUCGUCCCUCGUAACAUGGGGCAUAAGGGGGUACACUUGGGUACCCAGAGUACAGAAAACCUGCUGACAGGCAGACACCUAAGGUGACAAAGAAACUGCCAUAUUUACUGCGUUAGUGGGAUAAAAUGCACUAAAAUGAAAUGUCUAAAAUGAAACAGUGGCAUCAAGUCCAUGGCCCAUGAAAGUGACUCUGCUGCCAUCUAUGCCCAAAGCCUCUUGUUUCCAAGGAAGCCCGUUUUAUAGGAACGCAUCAGAACAUCUUCUUUUACCUUUUGACAAAAUGAAACUGCGUCCUUGGGAGUUUCCCACCCAUUGCUCUCUUGGCUACUUCACUCCAGUACUAUUUCAUUACUUAUUGAUUUUUCAACGCCUCUCUGCAUGGCUGUAAUUUACACAAGUCCUUACAGCCCUUAGCGAUUCUUAACACCUCAAGGUAAGAUCACUGAGUCCACUAGAGAGAGACAUUCUUUUCUAGAAUGAUGAAAAAUUGGUGAGUCUCCUUGCUAACACAGGCUCCUUUGGGAGGCCACGGUGGAUGGAAUGUAGCAUCACAAUCCUCCAGGUGCUACAGUGAGAGGGUGAACGAGGCCAACUCCAAAAUGGAUGUUGUCACAUUCUUGUUAUACUACUGAAGUCUAUGCAACUUUUAUUUUGGGAAUGAAAUACAGAGUUUUAUAGAUUGGCAGUUCUUAGUUUAAAAAAAAAAAAAGAAAGCCUAUGAAAUAACCCGAAACCUGGUAACACUGGAUUUAUUAUGAUCUUUUAAAAAAUUAAUCACCACUCUAAUCAAUUUGUAAAAUAUGUGUUUGCCUUUGUUGUAAUUAAGGUUCCACAUGGAAAAAAGAAAUGGAAGUAAAGAAAAAUGUCAGCAUGAUAGAAUAAAGUAAGUGUCUUCUGAAGAGUUUUUGGGUAUAACAUUCCAGUGUUAUGAAGAAGAAAAUAAACUCAAAAAUGCACAUUUUAUGCAGAAGGGUAUAAUUCUGAUUAAUAGUAAUAAAUCAAAUUAAACUGGUAGAAUUUCUAAAGUCUCCUAUCCAGAUUUCAUUAUUUUGCCUUCAAAAGUUUAUAAUUAAAAAAAUUACUCAGCUAUUUUGUUAUAUAUUACCAGGAAAUAUUUUUUGUUUCAGCCAUAAAACCCCUUCAUGAAUUUUUAUUUUAUAUAUUUAGAAUUAUGGUGAGAAUGUGAUUUAUACAUUUGAAGGAAAAUUUAAUAUUAUCAAAUAAUCAUAUGAAAAAUGAUGUGAUGCCUUUUCAACCAAAGAUAGGAUUGAAUUCUCUUGUUACUUCCACUACGAAAUGAUAUUAAAUAAAAGAUCCCUUGAAGAAGUGUAUUUCAGAUUGGCCUUGUGAGGAAGCCAUAGUCUGAAAAAUCCGAUAAAUGUCAGACUGUUUACACAGUAUCAUGUAGCUUACCUAACUCUAUGACCUGAAAACCGUUUCUGGAUGCUUCCAAAACAAUGAACCUAACCAAUUCACAAAUCACAGAGGUUGUUUUUUUUUGUUUUGUUUUUUUUUUUGUUUUGUUUUUUUAGCUUAAAGUGAAUUUAGAAAGCUUCUGGAUCAAUUAUAGUUAAUUUGUUGAAAUCGGGGAAAAAUAAUCCUAUCAAAGGAGCUAUUUAGCAUUUGAAGAUUUUAAAAGCCAAUUUUUUGAUGACAUACUUUAUUUUUUAAUUAUCUAUUACCUGUUAUGCUUAUGAUUAUUCAUACUUCACCUGAUGUAUACCACCCAAUUUUCCAAUGCUUUGGGACUUACUGAGAUAAUUGUAAUGAACAUGGUGCUCGCUUGCUCUAUAUUGCUUCCCUUUCUUUUGAAAUGUGCACUCUAGAUUUCUUUGAUGGGGAAGCACCUUUCCUUGCUCUCUUCCCUGGUUUGGGCAGGGCAGACCCUACUCCCUGGCUCUAGGUUGAUCCAAGCCAGGCCAACUGGACACUACACCUCCUUGUCUACAGUGAUGGACAUGAGCUGAGACAAUGAGAGCCAAAACGAGGUCUUUUGCUGAAACCACUGGCAAUAGGGGGCUCUGUGCCCUUGGGGUAUUUAUGCUGGUGGGAUGUGAACUUGGGCUGCCAGGGGCUACCACAUGCCAAUAGCCCACCUGGAAAUGAGGCAAACACAGAGGAAAACAGAACCAAAAUAGGUGUAGGGAGAGUAGGGGAGUCAGAUAUUACUGCUUGAGCUGUUGAAUCCAGCUAAGCCUAAAGCAGCCAAACCCAUGCAUUUUAGUCUAUGAAUUAAAACACUUCCAUUUUUACUUAAGCUAAUGUGAAUUUGGUUAUAGUUAGUUUCAACCCAAAGAGGCUUGAUUAAUUAGGACAAUUCUGUCUGUGAACAAUCUGCAUGUUUCAAACUUAAUCUGAAAUAAAUUUGGAAUGUUUAGGCAGGUUCACUACAUUGAAAGGCUUCAACAAUUUUGUUGUCCAUCCAAGAGGAAAAUGCUGAAAAAGCAUCUUAGGCUUGACUGUGCAAUGCUUUGGUAUGAGAAAAGCUCUACUAGAGCAAGAAGAGAGAUGCUGAAAAAUCCUUAAAAGUAAUAAUGAAGAUGAAGAUUCACUAUUUUUGUUUUGUUUUGGUUCAGGUAACACUGAAUUACAUGAAAUCUUCUUAAGAAUAGGCAUUGUAUUUCCUCAGCAUCUGCAAUACCAAACAAAGAGCUAGGUGCACAGUAGGCAUUUACUGGAUUACUGGACUAAACUCAUUAGAUAGAAUUGCUGUCUGUUCUUCAUGCUUCCUACGUAUUAAAAAAAUGAAAGCCACUUACAGCGUGGCAGUGUUUCUCAGGAAUUUAACACAAUCCAAAAAUGAUCAGACUUCUCUGAAGAUUGACAAAAUUCCCAGAAAAUACCAAGAACAUAAAUCAGCGGGAAGAACCUUUUUUCUUUUUUUUUCCUACUGUGACUCACAAUCAUUUUCUUAAAAAAGGCAUUUAAAUGCAAAGAUCUGAGGCUCAAUAUUAUUCACUAUAAGUCUAUGUCACCAACCACCCAUUCUUUGUCCCUGGAUGAUGUGUAAGAGUACUGUCCUUGUUAGAAUUCAUAAAUGUGGCCAAAACCUGGGCUAGACUCAAUAUUUCUGAGCCCUUGAAACUCUCUAGAAUGCACACCAUUAAAAGAAUGUGUUCAUUUUGAAUCAACCAUCUCUUAGUUAUUUCCUAACCAUCUCUUUCUGAUACUAACUGUUGGCCAAAAUAGAAUGCCAAUCAAAAGCCACAUGGAAGAGAAAUAUGAAGCCUGAGAAGAAAAUAUGAACCUCACCCAGGGUAAAUAGCUCAAAGAGUUUCUGUACUAAGGCAGCCCAGCCAUAUGGCCAGUUUGGCCCAGAAUCAAAAUCAAAGUCGUAAAACCAUCGCUAUGGCAGAGGAAGAUGUUUGGGCUGAUGGAGUCGAAAUGACUACACUGUAACGCUGAGACUGGGCCAACCAGAUGGUGCUGAGGGAACCAGACAGGAAUUCCACAGCAGGAAGAUGGACUUCGGCUCUAGUCUAGCUUUCCAGGCUCACCUCUCUGCUACCCUCUGCUCCAGGCAUACUCCACUGCUCGUUGGCCUUCUUUCACGUGAUGCACUUUUCACACCUCUUUGCCUUUGAUUAUGCGGGUCCUUCUCUCUGGAACAACCACCUCCUUUGCUCUCCUCCACCCCCAUCAACGUCAUGACCAUGCUACCCACCUUACUGUGCUUUUAUCCCCAGCCCUCCUGCACACUCUGAACUACCUGGGGUGCCACAAGGCUUCAUCUUUCUCUCUCUCUUUUUUUUUCCUCCAUGUCUCGACAUAACUUUUUCUUUUCCUUCCUGUCUUCUACCCUCUUUUUGAUCUCCCCAACCUAGUCUUCUAAAUUUAGCUGAAGCAUCACCACCUCCUGGAAGCCUUCCCUGAUCUCUCCUUUUAAUUCAGAAGACCCUCCUUCAUGCCCAUACAGUCUCUCAAUGCCUAUUUUAUCAGCAUCUACUCCAUUGUCCAGGAGUCACUGACCCACAUGUGUAUCUCUUCCAUAUGCCUGGAAUGGCCUUGAGGGUCAAGACCAUGCAUCAACUGACUUUACGUUCCUUUCACUUAGUGCCUGGCACUCAGUAGGAAGGGUGGGUGGAGAGAAAGCUGGCUGGAAGGAAGGAUGACUUAAUCCUUCAAGGCCCUGCUUUCACGUAACUUCCUCUAGAAAGUUCCAUAGCCCAUCCAGCCCUCUUGUACUUUAUAUAUAGACAUUCUUUUUUAAAAUUCCCACAAUUUGACUUGCAUUACAGAUAGGCCCUGCUUCUCUCUUUCAAUAGGGUGUAAGCUCUUUGAGGUCAGAAUUCAAUCUCCAUCUUUAUAUCCCUAAAGAUGCCUUGUUCAUAGUGGGUACAUAUUUGUUUCUGUUCCGUAAACAUUUGUGGAAAAU